rnacentral:misc_RNA from 1 species
AAUAAUCCCUCAUCCCCUUCUCCCUUUUCUAAGGGGGGCUGGGCGUGGAGCUUGGACGUUUGCGUUGAGGAAGACCCUCGCUCGUCUUGAAAAUGAUUUGGCUUGGGGUCUCUCGAGUCGGUUCGGCAACGGUGUGAUAAACAGACGCUUUGUCGAUUGCAGCGCCGUUCGGUGUCGGCUCGGAGGGACCUAGCAAGGCCGUCCCCCCUUGUCAUGUGGGACAAGCAAAGCGCUUAUAUGAC